UUGUUGCAACUUGAUCUCAGCCAACGCGACGAAACGGUAGGACGAAUGUGACCAUCAAUUCGUUGCACCGUUUCGUCGCGUCUUCUAGACACCGCUACGCGUGCUGCCCUCAAUGGCACAAUUUUAAUUCUUUCGCUCUGUCAACAGCAGACGUUUUGGGCGCGAAAAAUCAUGUAAACAGUAUUUUGUGGUAUAUUUGUGGAAAAGAAAUGGAGAAGAAUUAAGAAAGGAAAGAAGUGCGGUUUUAAGAAGACGCAACUUGUCUGAAGUGGGUAGAGGAAACGGUUGCAAAUUGAUGAGCGAAGCGAAAAAACGGAGAAAUUAUCAUUCAGAUCAAAGAUUUACAGGGCACUCCUUCUUUGAAUCUUCCUGUAAGCCCCACUGCUGCUUCCCCCAUUCCUUCAAGCUGUCCUCCGCUAAAUGCUGAUGAUACUUGGAUUGUCAUCUUUAGGAAAGAGAUCGAUGGGACCACUGUUAAGAUGAAAUUUCCAAAAUUCCAUGGAAAUCGAGUUGGUGGGCUAAUCACUAUCAACGGAGAAAAGUACUUAUGUGCCACCAUUUAACAAAAGGGUUCUCAGCAAACUGCAUGCUAGAACUUACGUGACCCUAUAUUAUUUCCUCAACUUUUCUAAAUUCAGAUAAAAUUUUUAAAAUUCUACAAAAUUCGAUUCUGCUGUGAAUGAGCCUGCGUACUCCAAAAAAGAUCAUUCCUUUUAUCAAGUCUUCUAUAAUACAGAUAAAUUUCUCAAAAUUACACAAAGAUUGAAGGAAUGGAAUAUUCACUAAAACUAGAAAAAUAUUAAGCGGAUGUCCAAAGGAAAGGUCCACAAUGCACUACAAAAGAAAACUAUCUUUGAGUGUUAUUGUUGGUAUUGAUAGUGUUCAUCUUGAUACGAGGUCAAUGUUUUCAAUUCUGCUGUGAAUGAGCCUGCGUACUAAAAAAAGGAUCCUUUCUUUUAUCAAGUCUGCUAUAAUUCAGUUUAGAUUGAAUCAAAUAUGCAAAUGUGGCAUAUAUAACAAAGCAUUUUUUUUUUUAGAUAAAAUUCAGAAAAUUACAUAAAGAAUCUGGGAAUGGAAUAUUCACUGAGACUAGAAAAAUAUCAAGCAAAGGUCCAAAAGAAACAUCCUUCAAUACACUACAAAAGACAACUAUCUUUGAGUGUUAUUGUUGAUAUUGAUAAUGUUGUUGUACAUCUUGAUAUGGCAGUCAAUGUUUUUUACUUUUUCAAUUGAGACUGUUUUUUUUUCUUCAUGUAAUGAUGUUCAGUUU